GGGACAAGCAGAAGCAUUCCGUUGUCUUUAAACGCAUUUGUAAUCAUGAUGUGGCGCACCUUCCUGCUGGUGUUGGCGGUGAUGGUGGUGAUGGCCGCUAUCGCUAACGCUGAACCGCACAGACACGGCGGUGGCAGUAGCGGCGGCGGCUUGGGCGGCGGCGGCGGCUUGGGAGGCGGUGGUGGACAUGGAAAUGGUUUUGGUGGCGGUGCCGGACUGGGUGGAGGUGGAGGAUACGGCAAAUAACACGACAACGACUCCACCAGUGACGACUACUCUGUGCCACCACCACCACCACCACCACGAACGACACCUACCCUUUUCCCUCCCUUCCCUCCUUCCCUUCUUUCCCUUAACCACACUCCUAAAGAUUAGAAGUAUUGGCAUUAGCUUUGUAACUCUGAUUUAGCUAGGGAAUUCUCUCUCUCUCUCUCUCUCUCUCUCUCUCUCUCUCUCUCUCUCUCUCUCUCUCUCUCUCUCUCUCUCUCUCUCUCUCUCUCUCUCUCUCUCUCUGUAUAUCUGACAUUUCGGAAUUAAACUUGCAAGAGGA